GGCGGUGGAGCAUUGACGCUGGUGCUCGUGCAACGCCAUUUGCUGCUCGGUUGUUGUAUCGUUGUGCCUCGUUCGUCGCACUCGACGCCUUCACACGGCAGGGGUCGCAGGUUCGAACCCUGCACCGCCCACCA
rnacentral:tRNA from 1 species